rnacentral:rRNA from 1 species
GGGAAACUGCCUGAUGGAGGGGGAUAACUACUGGAAACGGUAGCUAAUACCGCAUAACGUCGCAAGACCAAAGAGGGGGACCUUCGGGCCUCUUGCCAUCAGAUGUGCCCAGGUGGGAUUAGCUAGUAGGUGGGGUAACGGCUCACCUAGGCGACGAUCCCUAGCUGGUCUGAGAGGAUGACCAGCCACACUGGAACUGAGACACGGUCCAGACUCCUACGGGAGGCAGCAGUGGGGAAUAUUGCACAAUGGCGCAAGCCUGAUGCAGCCAUGCCGCGUGUAUGAAGAAGGCCUUCGGGUUGUGAAGUACUUUCAGCGAGGAGGAAGGCGGUGAGGUUAAUAACCUCACCGAUUGACGUUACUCGCAGAAGAAGCACCGGCUAACUCCGUGCCAGCAGCCGCGGUAAUACGGAGGGUGCAAGCGUUAAUCGGAAUUACUGGGCGUAAAGCGCACGCAGGCGGUCUGUCAAGUCGGAUGUGAAAUCCCCGGGCUCAACCUGGGAACUGCAUUCGAAACUGGCAGGCUAGAGUCUUGUAGAGGGGGGUAGAAUUCCAGGU